AUGCAGCAACUGCCUCAAAAAGUGAUUCAAGACUGUCUAAUGGUCGGGCACGAGGACAUUAUUCUUGUUGAUUCAGACCUCGGCGGGGAAACCAAUUGUGUGUUGCACCUUUCACAAUGCGAAAAAUGCAUAGAGAUGUUUAUAGGCAGUGAAUGGUACAAAUUCGUAAGGAAGCGGAAGCUCAAAAUAGGUGACAUGGUUGGAUUCAGUUUGAGGGUCCCUUCGUCUGAAAAAUUGGUGGUCACGGUUUUGAAACAUAAGAAUUCGUCAAAUUGA